GAUGAACGCUGGCGGCGUGCCUAAUACAUGCAAGUCGAGCGAACAGACGAGGAGCUUGCUCCUCUGACGUUAGCGGCGGACGGGUGAGUAACACGUGGAUAACCUACCUAUAAGACUGGGAUAACUUCGGGAAACCGGAGCUAAUACCGGAUAAUAUAUUGAACCGCAUGGUUCAAUAGUGAAAGACGGUUUUGCUGUCACUUAUAGAUGGAUCCGCGCCGCAUUAGCUAGUUGGUAAGGUACGGCUUACCAAGGCGACGAUGCGUAGCCGACCUGAGAGGGUGAUCGGCCACACUGGAACUGAGACACGGUCCAGACUCCUACGGGAGGCAGCAGUAGGGAAUCUUCCGCAAUGGGCGAAAGCCUGACGGAGCAACGCCGCGUGAGUGAUGAAGGUCCUCGGAUCGUAAAACUCUGUUAUUAGGGAAGAACAAAUGUGUAAGUAACUAUGCACGUCUUGACGGUGCCUAAUCAGAAAGCCACGGCUAACUACGUG
rnacentral:rRNA from 1 species